rnacentral:rRNA from 1 species
UGGGUGAGACAGAGUGACGCGAAGCCGACGAGGUGGAGCAAAUACGCAGAAAAAUCAUCCGUAGUUCGGAUUGGAGUCUGAAACCCGACUCCAUGAAGGUGGAAUCGCUAGUAAUCGCGCAUCAGCAUGGCGCGGUGAAUACGUUCCCGGGCCUU